GAAUUCACUAGUGAUUUGGCGGCGUGGAUAAGACAUGCAAGUCGAACGAGAGAAUUGCUAGCUUGCUAAUAAUUCUCUAGUGGCGCACGGGUGAGUAACACGUGAGUAACCUGCCCCCGAGAGCGGGAUAGCCCUGGGAAACUGGGAUUAAUACCGCAUAGUAUCGAAAGAUUAAAGCAGCAAUGCGCUUGGGGAUGGGCUCGCGGCCUAUUAGUUAGUUGGUGAGGUAACGGCUCACCAAGGCGAUGACGGGUAGCCGGUCUGAGAGGAUGUCCGGCCACACUGGAACUGAGACACGGUCCAGACACCUACGGGUGGCAGCAGUCGAGAAUCAUUCACAAUGGGGGAAACCCUGAUGGUGCGACGCCGCGUGGGGGAAUGAAGGUCUUCGGAUUGUAAACCCCUGUCAUGUGGGAGCAAAUUAAAAAGAUAGUACCACAAGAGGAAGAGACGGCUAACUCUGUGCCGGCAGCCGCGGUAAUACAGAGGUCUCAAGCGUUGUUCGGAAUCACUGGGCGUAAAGCGUGCGUAGGCUGUUUCGUAAGUCGUGUGUGAAAGGCGCGGGCUCAACCCGCGGACGGCACAUGAUACUGCGAGACUAGAGUAAUGGAGGGGGAACCGGAAUUCACGGUGUAGCAA
rnacentral:rRNA from 1 species